rnacentral:lncRNA from 1 species
AGGCAGGCAUGUAGUACACAGCUCAAACACUCAUACCCAUAAAAAAUAAUUAAAAAAAAAAAAGAUUGGAAACAGUAAUGUAGGCUUUUGGAUACAUACUUUUGAGGUUCGAGAGAGGAUUUGGACUAAUGGAAUCUAUGAGUCAUUAAAACUGGGGGUAACUGAGCCAGGGUGGAGGAAGUCGUGCAGGAGGAGAGGGGGUGCUGGAACAGAACCCCGUGGAGUACAAGCAUUCGACAGGGGGCUCCAGAGGAAUGCCAUCGCCAGAGUCCGAGCCAGAUGUCCAAGGACCAGCCAGUUUCCAGUGAGCCAGAAGCUGGGUCAGGACAAUCGUUCUUGUUGACUUUAGCCACACGUCACGGGAGACUGGCAAAACCAGAUUCUGAACGGUUGAGAAAGACGUACACAGUGUUUGCUUGCAUAUACGUCUUGCACAUCACAAGAGGACAUUGGAACCCCUGGGUAUAGAUGGUUGUGAGCCACCAUGCUUGUGCCGGGACUUGAACGUAGGACCCCAGAAGGGCAGCCAGUGCUCUUAAAUCCCUGAGCCGUCUCCCCAGCCUCCUUAUCAUCAGGUAAGAGACAACAACACACUCUAGAAGCCUGUCAGCAC